AACGAACGCUGGCGGCAGGCUUAACACAUGCAAGUCGAACGCCCCGCAAGGGGAGUGGCAGACGGGUGAGUAACGCAUGGGAACAUACCCUUUUCUACGGAAUAGCUCUGGGAAACUGGAAUUAAUACCGUAUACGCCCUACGGGGGAAAGAUUUAUCGGGGAAGGAUUGGCCCGCGUUGGAUUAGCUAGUUGGUGGGGUAAAGGCCUACCAAGGCGACGAUCCAUAGCUGGUCUGAGAGGAUGAUCAGCCACAUUGGGACUGAGACACGGCCCAAACUCCUACGGGAGGCAGCAGUGGGGAAUAUUGGACAAUGGGCGCAAGCCUGAUCCAGCCAUGCCGCGUGAGUGAUGAAGGCCUUAGGGUUGUAAAGCUCUUUCACCGAUGAAGAUAAUGACGGUAGUCGGAGAAGAAGCCCCGGCUAACUUCGUGCCAGCAGCCGCAGUAACAC
rnacentral:rRNA from 1 species